UUGAUCCUGGCUCAGAAUCAACGCUGGCGGCGUGCCUAACACAUGCAAGUCGAACGCGAAAGUCCCGCAAGGGAUCAGUAGAGUGGCAAACGGGUGAGUUACACGUGGGUGACCUGCCUUCGAGUGGGGGAUAACGUCCCGAAAGGGACUCUAAUACCGCAUAACAUCCUGCCUUUUAAGAGGUGGAGAUCAAAGCCGGUGAUCGCAAGACCUGGCGCUUGAAGAGGGGCCCGCGUCCGAUUAGCUAGUUGGUGGGGUAAUGGCUCACCAAGGCUCCGAUCGGUAUCCGGCCUGAGAGGUCGGACGGACACACUGGGACUGAGACACGGCCCAGACUCCUACGGGAGGCUGCAGUGGGGAAUUGUUCGCAAUGGGCGCAAGCCUGACGACGCAACGCCGUGUGGAGGAUGAAGAUCUUCGGGUCGUAAACUCCUUUCGAUCGAGACGAAUGGCCUCUGGGUUAAUAGCCUGGAGGAGUGACGGUACCGAGAGAAGAAGCUCCGGCUAACUCCGUGCCAGCAGCCGCGGUAAUAAGGU
rnacentral:rRNA from 1 species